UUCAGGUUGUCCCCAAGGUAACGCAGCAUCCUGCCAUGUGCCACGACUGCCGUUUGCCCCUCAAGAGGCAUCUUUCUGCACAUGCUCUCUGCCCUAGGAGGCUGACUUGGAUGGACCACACCAAUGGGCUCUGUUGACCUAUGGCUUCCAGUUGGGUGCAGACCAAGAGGAACCAGGAAAGAAAUGGAGGGAGGGAAGGGAAUGAGGGAAGGGCGUCUUUUCCCCAGGACUUCCUGCGAGGUCAAGGGAAACUGACUGUGUCCCAGGAUAACAGUCACAGCUCCUGCCCGGAUCUCCUAGGAGGUUCUGGUUAGACCCCCACCAAGUCAAAGGUAGUGAACAGGACUGCCCUACCCCUCGGGCACUUUCACGUGCUUCCCACACCUGUACUGAACUCCCUUCAAAUUACCUAAUGUGAGUGUGACAUCCGUUUCCUGCCGGGAGGCUGAUGGACACGUGUGGUUGGGCCAACUCAGUAAAGUGAACAGGAAAGCCUUCUAUUUUUACCUCUGCUCUGGAACACAUUAAGUAUGGCAGGCCUUUUCUAGUCUCUGAAGGUCAGAGCUCAUCUUCGGGGCCCUCUUGGCCUUCGUAUUUUAGGAAUGGGAUAGUUGGUUGACAAAUAGUUUAAGAUGCUCUCAUGGUUACUGCUUUAUUUAGGUUUAUUCUUCUUGCGUCAAGUUUUGAUUUUCCUCGAAGAGCAUCCGCGUCCUUAGGAACGUGAAAUGUAUCGGCAUGGAACUGUUUACAGAAUCUUGCCUUACUGUUUUAAUCCCUUCGGAGUGCAUGGUCGCCUUCUCUGUCUCACUUUUUAUGUCCUACAUUUGUUAGCCUUUAUUUUGGUUAAGUUUAUUCAGUGUUGUGUGUGUGUGAUUUGCCCUGGGGUCACCCUGGGAGUGAGCCUAAAUAUGUUGCCUGCAGAUGACAGUUUUUCCUGGCAAAGAGUGAGCAUGAGCCCCGGAUCUAACGAGGAUCCAUCCCAUGGCAGAAAUUUCAGGAAUCAGGCGGAGGAGCUCUGGGUGCUGGAGGCCAAGGCGCACCUGGGGGAGAGCCUGGGACGGAGAUGACGACCUUGGCCGGAUUAGAGGGAAGGCAGGAGCAGCCUGCACCCUGGAGAGCGAGGCCUCUCUCUCUUCUGGGAGAUGAUACUUUUAAUUUUCAUCAGCGCAGGACUAUGUCCCACAGCAGAAGGGGUUUGCCUCAUUCAUCAUGCUCCCGGGCCACACAAUGGGACCCCUGACAAGCAGAACAUUGGGGAGUGAGAGAAACGGACAUCCCUCCUGCUCAUGAAUUGCAAGUGCUUCUUCAUUAAAGGACUCUCUACUGCUUGGGACCAUCUGCUGGAUAUAACCGGGCCCAGGUCCUCGGGCUAGAAACAUCUGCCACUUUAAUCAUUUUACCUCUUAAUUAAAGCACAACCAAGAGGAGGCCAACCAUAGCUAUGACCCGGGACACGUCAGACCCUUGCCUCGCAGCGUGGAGAGCGCGUCUGCCUGGAGAAGGCGGGAACGGGAGCUCAUAGGUGUGUGGCUUCCCCUACAUCUGUGUUCCCCACUGAGAUAAACAAACAGGGCACAGGAGCCCCCUCUCCCCAUUAACCGCGUGUCUCAUUCUAGAGACACUUUGUCUUCAAAUUUAAUUGAUCCUCCACCCAGUGCAAGGGCCCCCUGACCAGUUGUCAGUGAGCAGCUUUGCCUGGAGGCAUCUUGGGCAAAUAAUUAAUGAUCUAGAAACAAACAUGCUGAUCCACUGGGGAAGUGCUAUUUAAAGGAGCUCUCCGCUAAUCCUUUUGUGCCGCGAAGAAUUCUUUUAUCAUGCAAAUAGUCACCCUGUAAUGGAUCUGUUUUGUAACUUCAGAUUUUUCACAUCAAUUUCCCAUGCGUUGCCAAUGAAACCUUGUGCGGAAUCACUCGAGAGCACGCUCGGUAAACCUCUUAAUAAGUGGUAGGCGAUGCCCUGAUUUCUUGCUUUGGGAUAACGCACAGGCUCUUGAGCUUGGUGAGCAUGUCGCGGAGAUUCCAGCUACGUAUCUGUCUACCCCACUCCGUUAGUCUUCUGUAGGCUCUCAAAGAGCUUCGACGUUUAUAUUUCUUUUUUUAAAUGAUUUUCAUUUUUCCCCAUUAGUUGGUUUACAUGGUUCUGUCAGUUUUCUACGGUACAGCCACGCCAUUUAUACAUAUAUAUACAUUCUUGUCCUCACAUUAUCCUCCAUCAGGUUCCAGCGCAAGUGACGAGAUAGAGUUCCCCGUGCUGUACAGCAGGCUCUCAUGGCUUCUUCAUUCUCAAUGCAAGAGUUCGCAUCUACUAACCCACUCCCACUCUCUCCCCCUUGGCAACCACGAGGCUGUUCUCCAAGUCCAUGAGUAUCUUUUCUGGGGAAUAUAUUUCUUUUAUUUGAUUUCUCAUAGAGCUGUCUUGUACUGAGUUCUGUACCCCAAGAAGUGAAAUGGUAUCAGGAAAAAUUUAUAUAUGCAUCUCCUAAUCAUCCAAAGGCUUUUAAAAUGCUGAAAAGAAACCACACAUGGAUAUACACUCAAAAAUACUAGAAAAAGAUACUCAAAAGAAUGGAAAGCAGCAUCUGAAAGAGCUAUUUGUACACCGUGUUCACAGCAGUAAUACUCACAAGAGCUAAAAUGUGGGAGCAACCCAAGUGUCCAUCAAUGGAUGAAGGGAUGAGCAAAAUGUGGUCCAUGCAUAUGAUGGAAUAUUAGCCUUCAAAAAGGGGAAACUCAUGCUACAACAAGGCUGAACUUCGACACUAUUAUGCUGCAUGCAACACGCCAGACCCCAAAUGGCAAAUCCUUCAGGAUUCCACUUGUAUUAAGUACCCACCAUGGGGCUUGAAGGAGGAGAGCUAGGGAGCCAGUGUUGACUGGACACACACAAAAAAGUUUCACCUUUACAAGAUGAAAAGAGCAAUGGGGCUGGACGGUGAUGACAGCUGUACAACCUUAUGAAUAUAUUUAAUUCCACUGAACUGUCUACUUUAAAAUGGUUGACGUGGCCAAUUUUAUGCGUAUUUUGUCACAAUUAGAAAAUGAGGAGGGAAACUAUAAAAGGUCACUGUUUAGACAAAUACAAUAACCAUGUCAUGUGGGGUUGGUAAUAUAUGUAAAAAUAAUGCAUCACAACAAUAGCACAAAAGGCGAAAGACGUAGAAGCGCCAAAAGAACUUUCGGCAGACCAAAGUUGAGUGGUAACACUCUCUGGUUUCAAGACUCAGUUAUCUACCUCCUAUAUAGAGAAAAACCUCAUUUUAGGAGGCUCUUAGGAGCUCCAUGCAAGGGGCAGAGACCAACAUAUAUUUCCUUUUUCUCCCAAGACUGUUUUUUUCUUUUCUUUUUUGGCCAUGCCCACAGCAUGUGGAAAUUCCUGGGCCAGGGAUCGAACUGGCACCACAGCAGUGACAAGGCCAGCUCCUUAACCUGCUGAGGACCAGGGGACGCCAACAUAUAUUUUUAUGAUCUCCUCAAAUGGCUAAAAUCAAAGACUGACUGGGCGAUGGCAAGAACAUGAAGGAACCAAAGCUCCUACUUUGCUGGCAGAGGUAUUGAAGGUUGCAACCACUUUGCAAAGCAGGGUGGCCAUUUCUUAAAAAGUUAAACUCCCCCCAGUCAUAGGAUUCAGUCAUUUGAUUCCUAGAUAUUUGCCCCAAAGGACAUAUGUAUUCAUUCAGACUCUUACACACGUGUUCACUGCAGCUUUACCUGUAAUGCUCUUAAAAAGGAAUCAACCUUAAUAUCUAUUAACAAGUGAACGGAUAAAAUGUGUUAGCCAAACAGUGGAACACGUGUCCACAAUGAAAA
ensembl:lncRNA